UGCAAGUCGAACGAUGAUACUCGAGCUUGCUAGAGAAGAUUAGUGGCGGACGGGUGAGUAACAUUUAGGAAUCUGCCUAGUAGUGGGGGAUAGCUCGGGGAAACUCGAAUUAAUACCGCAUACGACCUACGGGUGAAAGGGGGCGCAAGCUCUUGCUAUUAGAUGAGCCUAAAUCAGAUUAGCUAGUUGGUGGGGUAAAGGCCCACCAAGGCGACGAUCUGUAACUGGUCUGAGAGGAUGAUCAGUCACACCGGAACUGAGACACGGUCCGGACUCCUACGGGAGGCAGCAGUGGGGAAUAUUGGACAAUGGGGGCAACCCUGAUCCAGCCAUGCCGCGUGUGUGAAGAAGGCCUUUUGGUUGUAAAGCACUUUAAGCAGGGAGGAGAGGCUAAUGGUUAAUACCCAUUAGAUUAGACGUUACCUGCAGAAUAAGCACCGGCUAACUCUGUGCCAGCAGCCGCGGUAAUACAGAGGGUGCGAGCGUUAAUCGGAAUUACUGGGCGUAAAGCGAGUGUAGGUGGCUCAUUAAGUCACAUGUGAAAUCCCCGGGCUUAACCUGGGAACUGCAUGUGAUACUGGUGGUGCUAGAAUAUGUGAGAGGGAAGUAGAAUUCCAGGUGUAGCGGUGAAAUGCGUAGAGAUCUGGAGGAAUACCGAUGGCGAAGGCAGCUUCCUGGCAUAAUAUUGACACUGAGAUUCGAAAGCGUGGGUAGCAAACAGGAUUAGAUACCCUGGUAGUCCACGCCGUAAACGAUGUCUACUAGCCGUUGGGGUCCUUGAGACUUUAGUGGCGCAGUUAACGCGAUAAGUAGACCGCCUGGGGAGUACGGCCGCAAGGUUAAAACUCAAAUGAAUUGACGGGGGCCCGCACAAGCGGUGGAGCAUGUGGUUUAAUUCGAUGCAACGCGAAGAACCUUACCUGGUCUUGACAUAGUGAGAAUCCUGCAGAGAUGCGGGAGUGCCUUCGGGAAUUCACAUACAGGUGCUGCAUGGCUGUCGUCAGCUCGUGUCGUGAGAUGUUGGGUUAAGUCCCGCAACGAGCGCAACCCUUUUCCUUAUUUGCCAGCGGGUUAAGCCGGGAACUUUAAGGAUACUGCCAGUGACAAACUGGAGGAAGGCGGGGACGACGUCAAGUCAUCAUGGCCCUUACGACCAGGGCUACACACGUGCUACAAUGGUAGGUACAGAGGGUUGCUACACAGCGAUGUGAUGCUAAUCUCAAAAAGCCUAUCGUAGUCCGGAUUGGAGUCUGCAACUCGACUCCAUGAAGUCGGAAUCGCUAGUAAUCGCAGAUCAGAAUGCUGCGGUGAAUACGUUCCCGGGCCUUGUACACACCGCCCGUCACACCAUGGGAGUCUAUUGCACCAGAAGUAGGUAGCCUAA
rnacentral:rRNA from 1 species